AUUGAACGCUGGCGGCGUGCCUAAUACAUGCAAGUAGAACGCAGUUGCGACCGGGUGAGUCACGCGUAGGUCACUGCCUGGUAGCGGGGGAGAACUAUUGGAAACGAUAGCUAAUACAGCAUACUACCUGAUGGACCUGCGUUGUAUUAGCUAGUUGGGGGGGUAACGGGUCCACAAGGAAACGAUACAUAGCCGACCUGAGAGGGGUAUCGGCCACAAUGGGACUGAGACACGGCCCAGACUCCUACGGGAGGCAGCAGUAGGGAAUCUUCGGAAAUUGACGGAAGUCUGACCGAGCAACGCCGCGUGAGUGAAGAAGGUUUUCGGAUCGUAAAGCUCUGUUGUAAGAGAAGCGGUAUCUUACCAGAAAGGGACGGCUAACUACGUGCCAGCAGCCGCGGUAAUUC
rnacentral:rRNA from 1 species